UACGGGGGGGGCAAGCGUUGUUCGGAAUUACUGGGCGUAAAGGGCUCGUAGGCGGCCAACUAAGUCGGACGUGAAAUCCCUCGGCUUAACCGGGGAACUGCGUCCGAUACUGGAUGGCUUGAGUUUGGGAGAGGGAUGCGGAAUUCCAGGUGUAGCGGUGAAAUGCGUAGAUAUCUGGAGGAACACCGGUGGCGAAGGCGGCAUCCUGGACCAACACUGACGCUGAGGAGCGAAAGCCAGGGGAGCAAACGGGAUUAGAAACCCCGGUAGUCC
rnacentral:rRNA from 1 species